rnacentral:rRNA from 1 species
AAUUUUUAUGGAGAGUUUGAUCCUGGCUCAGGAUGAACGCUGGUGGCUGGCCUAAUACAUGCAAGUCG